AGAGUUUGAUCCUGGCUCAGGAUGAACGCUGGCGGCGUGCCUAAUACAUGCAAGUCGAACGCUUCACUUCGGUGAAGAGUGGCGAACGGGUGAGUAAUACAUAAGUAACCUGGCAUCUACAGGGGGAUAACUGAUGGAAACGUCAGCUAAGACCGCAUAGGUGUAGAGAUCGCAUGAACUCUAUAUGAAAAGUGCUACGGGACUGGUAGAUGAUGGACUUAUGGCGCAUUAGCUGGUUGGUAGGGUAACGGCCUACCAAGGCGACGAUGCGUAGCCGACCUGAGAGGGUGACCGGCCACACUGGGACUGAGACACGGCCCAGACUCCUACGGGAGGCAGCAGUAGGGAAUCUUCGGCAAUGGGGGCAACCCUGACCGAGCAACGCCGCGUGAGUGAAGAAGGUUUUCGGAUCGUAAAGCUCUGUUGUAAGUCAAGAACGGGUGUGAGAGUGGAAAGUUCACACUGUGACGGUAGCUUACCAGAAAGGGACGGCUAACUACGUGCCAGCAGCCGCGGUAAUACGUAGGUCCCGAGCGUUGUCCGGAUUUAUUGGGCGUAAAGCGAGCGCAGGCGGUUUGAUAAGUCUGAAGUUAAAGGCUGUGGCUCAACCAUAGUUCGCUUUGGAAACUGUCAAACUUGAGUGCAGAAGGGGAGAGUGGAAUUCCAUGUGUAGCGGUGAAAUGCGUAGAUAUAUGGAGGAACACCGGUGGCGAAAGCGGCUCUCUGGUCUGUAACUGACGCUGAGGCUCGAAAGCGUGGGGAGCGAACAGGAUUAGAUACCCUGGUAGUCCACGCCGUAAACGAUGAGUGCUAGGUGUUGGAUCCUUUCCGGGAUUCAGUGCCGCAGCUAACGCAUUAAGCACUCCGCCUGGGGAGUACGACCGCAAGGUUGAAACUCAAAGGAAUUGACGGGGGCCCGCAC
rnacentral:rRNA from 1 species